GGUAUUCUGUGAGUCGCCCUCACUGCCGGAAGAGUGGCGGUAGUAGUAGUGGUCUCUGUCGUAUACAGAGUAAUUUCGUUUUAACUGAACAGGUUUAACAUUAGUUCAAGAGUUCAAGAGCCUUAGGCAAGUGCAGGUUGUGUUUCUUGGCAGUCAGUGAUGCUAGUAUGAACUGUGUACUGUAUGUUGAUUAGUGAAGACUGAUAUUUCACAAGGUGGUUUUAUUUUAACGCACUUCUUAUCCAACAAUAUUUACGAGUAUAAUAUACAAUACCUUUGGUACAGAGUAGAAGCUAUUUAUCUUUAAUUAUGUAAAGAAAACUGAUACUAGUAAUACAUUUUAUUCAGAAUAUGACACAAUUAUCUAAAAUUUUCUGUUUUAGAGGACGUAAGCUCUGUGAGUGUUCGACGAAUUUGGGAGAAAUAUAUAGGUUCAUUCUUGCAGACUUUCAAGGAAUUGGAGUAACUUGUUAUUUUGAGUGAUGUACUUAGAAACUUUGUUGUUAAUUGGUUCGAUUGUAGUCUUAAAACGUAACUCAAUUUAUGUGCUUCGAAGUAAAUUCGUGUUAUAACUUGAUGGGAUAAGCAAAGUUCUUGUUUUGUACAACUGUCCGUCAGCAAGAGGUGCUUACAUCGACCAAUAUGCACCUCAGGGGCAAGAAUGUCUUUUUCGUGUGGACUUUACGUCAUUCUACAAAUCAGUCGUUAUGAAGUCUUUCAGUAUUUUGUUCUAAAUUUGGACUGUAUUAAUAUCAGCUGUUCUGUACUUAUAGGAACCUGCUCUUUGGGAUAUAAAUUUUCUCAUCUGAAUAACAUAUCAUUUAAUUAAUGUGCCACGUUUAUAAACUAAUAGAAGGUAUGGUACUGAAAAUAUUUUAACAGUAUUAUCCAUAGGACAGAAAGUCCAAUGUAAGAUGCGAUUCUCAUCAGUUCAUUCAAUGGUAACAUGAAUACCGAAUCGGAUGGGACAAGCAAGGGCCCAAGAAUUCUGAGAAACAGAAACAAGACUCCUCGUCUGGGAAUUCUUCACUUCGAAUCACGAAGGAAGACAAAGAUCUGCUCCAAGGCUAUAUAAUGAGGAUCCAGUGCCAGCUGAAUUAUAAUCAAGGGAGUCUCUUAAGACAGCAGUCAAAGAUGACUGAGAAGAGAUGGCAAGAAAGAAAUUAGGCUAUACAAAGAAGGCUUCAUGUGUGCUACAGUUACAGUACCUUCAGUCCAAAGGAUUCCUCUGGAAUGUUGGCUCCUUGGAGCGGGCUUGAAUGUCCCUCAGCUUCAAGACCUUCUGGCCCUUCCGGUCAGCAACCAGUCAACUAUCGGCAUCUAUCCUACAGCUGCCAUAAGGUGAUAUGAUGAUGAUGAUGAUGAUGAUGAUGCCACCAGCUGAAGUUUUUUAUAGCUUAUUUUCGGGACAGUGCAGAGUGGCAAUGAGUAAGUAAACAAUCUAAGUCUUUUGAAUGCUGAAAGCAGAUAUGACUUUACUGCAUGUACAGGCACAGUUCAUACAGAAGAAAUAAAAGCGAGUUGAAGACUCAGAUAAAACUCCUACAAGAUGCAGCAAUCCACUCUCUCUUUCUGAUCUCACCCAGUCAUACCCAUCUCUACUUAUAGGAACAAUCUGGCUGUUGGCUGGACCAAAGUUUGUACAUGUGGCAUUAACUUGUAAUGUUACAUGAGGCUGAUGCUCAUGUCAAAAAAGGGUUUGUUUACUAGCUCCAAAUUAGUUCCGAAGUAUAGACACGUGGUGUACUAUAUAUAUAGCACAUACAUGGUAUGACUGUGGCUACUUAUAUAUGAUAUAUAUAUACACAGUAUGGAAUACACCGUUUACACAAAAAUCAGUAUUCAAAACAAAGAAGACACUACUGCAUCAACAUUUGCUUUUAUUGUGUUUAUUAGAGAUCCUUUCACAGGUCAUCAUCAGGCAUACAAUGCACCAGUCUGAGCUGUUGAGUUGCGAUCAACUGUCAUUUUAUUCAUCGAAUAAGGAUCCUUAUUGUGUCUUAAAAUUAAAUUCAAAUGUAAAUGUAUAACAAAUCUUGGGUGAAAUUUAAA